CCAGAUCCAUUAUAUAUGAGACUUGAGAGACUAAUUAGUAGACAGAAAACCUAUUCUCCAUCAUCCCAGUGAACUAGUAAUAUGUAAACUGUUCUAGAGAAUAGUGGGGGGUGGGGGUAGGACAGAUAGUACAAUUAGUUUUUCUUUUUUCAGAACACAUGAAAACAAGUUCAAAAUUAAUCUGAAAACUAUUAAAGUAGUUGUGUAAAACAGUACCUGUUUCUCAGUAAUCACAAAGUAUAAGUAUCAGCUAACAACCUUGAACGCACACCCUCUAUAGCGAAAAUACUGGGUAAAAAAAAACUUGCUGGGUACUGUUUUGUCUUGCCAGUUUUUUAUCUUUGCCAUUUUUACCUGUUAAAAGUUCAGAAGAGUGUUUUACUUUUGGCUUUUGUAUUGGUUUUUGGUAUUUUUGAGGUAUGAGGCAUUGAACCAAGCACUCUACCACUGAGCUACAUCUUCAGCCCUUUUGAUUUUAUUUUGACACAGGAUCUGGCUAAGUUUGAAUUUGGGAUUCUCCUGCCUCAGCCUUCAGAGUAACUGGGAUUACAGGUAUACAUCACCAGGCCUAGUUUAAAUGAUUUUUUAUGGUUUGUAUACUUCGUGUUUUUUGGUUUGGAGGAGAAGAGUAUGUGGAAAUUGUGGGGAUUGGGAUGUAUUCUUUUAAAACCGUUUGGUAACAUGUGUUAGGAAAUGAGUGAUUUAUGUCUGUUACUGUGCAGAUAUGCUUACACACCUGAUCAUGUGCUGCUUUUCUGUUUUCAGAUCUCUCUUGGAUUCUUGUCAUGUAACUCUUUUCUCCCAAGAGUUGAUCUGGAGUUUGGGAUUCAUCUUCAGUUGUUCAGAUUUAUAAGCCUUCUAAGCGCCAAGUCAUCUUUAGGAAAUAGUUGGUAUUUCAGAACCUGGGUUUGUUAAGGACAGAAGCCAAGUGAAUGUGUGAAAGUAUGAGGGAGGGUUUUAAAAAGUGAUCACAAUAAAAAACAUAAUUGGCUAUAGAUCAGCAUUGGCCUUUUAGUAGCAGCCUGCAAGCUGCACACAGAGCUGGACUGCAGUCGCUGAACUGCUUCCUCAGAGACAUCCCCUAAAGCCAGACAAUUUGGUAGCCAGAGCUCAGGACACUUGAAAAGAAGUAGGGGGAUUUGCUUACAAAGAUUAAUAUUCAAUGCUGACUUAUAAAGAUUCAAAUACUAGUUCUCUAAUAAUCCCCCUUUUAAUGAAAAUGGGGUAAAAUAGCUAUGUCAUGUCAGCAAAUACAUUUUUAAAGUCUUAAUAAUUAAUGAUCUCCCUUGGGGGAGAGUCCAAGGGAGGAGAGACCCAAGGGAAAAUCAUCUUUUCUCUUCAGUCCCACUUAUGCUAAUGAAUAAUGUCCUCCCAGGGGCUGUCUGAUUGAGAAAUCCAGUUUAUGCCAACUCUGGUAUCCCAACUCAAGACAGACACCAGUCAGGAGUUUGCUUUUGCCAGAAUGAUUACUUACGUUUUCAAGUUAAAUGUUAAUAUUGUCUGUCAAACAAUUUAUUCCCUUUAUAAUAAAAAUCGGGAACUCUGAAUGUGUAACAAUAUUGUAUCUUUUAAAUAUAGUCAAGCCCUUUUAUUUAUCCAUUUUUGCACUUUGUUGUGCCCAGCCCAUCUCUCAUGCUAUCUUGUUUAAUGUAUGUAACUUGGAUGUAUUUUGCUUAAAUGUGGCUUUCUGCAUAUCAUAUGGUAGUUCUAGAGGCUGUUCACUCACUCCUUCACCCUUCCUAGUAAGUUUUUCUAGGGCCAGUUAGAGACCAGUGCAGAGAAAGAGUCCCCUCUAGGGUUUCUGCUAGUUUCCCACCUCUUGGGGAUCUUAUAUAUCAUAUAUGACCCUUUUCUUUUGUUGUUUUAUUUGUUGACUGAAUGAUUGAUUGCAGAACUAGGAAUUGAACCUUGGGGUGUUCUACCAGUGAGCUACAUCCUCAGCCCUUUUUGUUUUUUGAGACAGUCUUGCUAAAUUUCUCAGAGUAGUUUCAAAUUGGUGAUUCUCCUGCCUCAGUCUCCCCAGUAGCUGGGAUUGCAGGCAUGUACCAUCAUGUUCAGCUCUUCUACUACUUUUAAUCCAGUCCUACUUUUAGAAACAUUACAGGACUCUUUUUAAUCCUCUGUCCUUUUUUCUUUGUAACUUGGACCUUUAUCUUAGGGUAAAUUUUGUCCUCUGCUUUCUUCCUUCUUUUCGUUUGUAAGAUGUACAUACAGUGCCUCAUACCUACAUAAGGUUAAAGGUUUUUUUUUUUUCUUCAGGUAAUAAUGUUUAGAUAUACAUAAAUAAGAAUUUUUUUUAACUCCCUUUUCAGUUUCACUGACAAGUUUUUUUUCUCUCUGUUCACUACUUAAAAUAAUUGUUACAUUUUGUGGGCUAGCAUAUACAGCAUGGUUUCUUUUUUUCUUUUUUUUUUUUUUCAGUUGUAGAUGGACACAAUACUUUUUAUUUUUAUGUGGUGCUGAGGAUCGAACCCAGUGCUUCACACAUGCUAGGCAAGUGCUUUACCACUGAGCUACAUUAGCAGCCCUAUACAGCAUGAUUUCUUUUGAACACAAUCUAGUUGAAAUUGAUGGAGUUUCUAAACUACUGUUGCAUCCCUAUAUGGUGGACAGACCCAUGAUUGGAUGCCAGUGAAUACUAGUUAUUGUUCCUUCGUCUCUAUGAACUGUGUUUUAUAUUUACAUCAAGUUAAGAUCUUUUGUAAUAUCUGAAUGGAAGACUGGGGUCUGAGCUUUAAUCUCAUUCGUUGAUUUAGAAAUGAGUGUCUACAUGUGUCAGGUAGUACACUGGUCUUAGUGAACAAAUAAGAGGACAGUUUCAGCUAACCUGAAAUAGUAAGAAGUAGUGAAACAGGAUAGAUAAGAGACUGUUAGGGGCUAGGUGCUAUCUUAAGUCAGGUGGCCUUCUCUGUAGAACUGAUGUUGGAGCACAGACCAGAGUGACAAAAAUGAGUCAUACCAUCAGAUCUGGGAGGAUGGUAGCUAGAAUAAAGAGGCUAAGGUAGUAAGAACUUUGCAGAAACACCAGGGAUGUGACUGGAGCCUGGGGGGUUCAGGGGCCAGAGAGGCAGCCAGAACUGGCAGGUUGUGGUCAGAGAUGAGGAUUCAUUCUGACUGCAGCAGGAGUCAAUGGGUCUGCCGAUUUUCUUGAUUUUCUAGCUGUCUCCCAGCAGAUCCUGCUUUUAUUCCAGCUUUUUAAUGAAUUGAUUUAAUUUUUGAGCCUGUGGGGAAUGCCUUGGUGUGAAAACCUUUCACAGCUUGUGAGUCUGCCUCCCUGUGGUUUUGUGUCCAUCAUUACAGACCCUAGCAGUGCAGGGUGUGAUUGUCAUACAUACCUUUUGAGAUGGAAGAGAAUAUGACACAUGUGGAGCAUGUGUUUAAUAAUGUUCUGAGGAUGUGAAAGAGAAAGGUUUAGAAGUGACAUGAGGGAGGAACAACUUCCUAUGUCUUUCUCUUUUUUUUAGUUGUUAGACCUUUAUUUAUUUAAUUAAUAUAUGGUGCUGAGAAUCAAACCCAGUGCCUCACACAUGCCAGACAAUUCACUGCCGCUGAGCCACAAUCCCAUCUUGAUGAUAACUUAAUCGAUUUGAGUUCUCCAUGUUUCUUCCCAGAAUAGU
rnacentral:lncRNA from 1 species